UACGAAGGACCCGAGCGUUAUCCGGAUUCAUUGGGUUUAAAGGGUGCGUAGGCGGAUUGAUAAGUCAGUGGUGAAAUCCUGCAGCUUAACUGCAGAACUGCCAUUGAUACUGUCGAUCUUGAGUACAUUUGAAGUGGGCGGAAUGUGUCAUGUAGCGGUGAAAUGCUUAGAUAUGACAUAGAACACCAAUUGCGAAGGCAGCUUACUACGGGAACAUUGACACUGAGGCACGAAAGCGUGGGGAUCAAACAGG
rnacentral:rRNA from 1 species